UAUAUAAAUAUAUAUAUAUAUAUAUUAGGUACGCGGAAAUCCGUGUUUUACGAAACCGAAUUUUGUGCUAAAAUUUUGUGCCAGGUUUUUUGAACUUUUUUUUAGGUAACGUCAGGCAAACGUUUUUUUGUGGCGUUUCUGUUUAGAAACAUUACUAAACUUAGAUUAUUUUUGAAAAAAAGAAUAGUUAAACUUGAAUAAUAUAUAACAUUUAUGUGUGGUUAGUAAUUUUUGUAUUGCUUUUAUUUGUAUUAAAAACUUGGUUGUUGUUCUCACAUUAAAAUAUUGUCGAAGAAAUGCUCAGAUAGUUUGCAAACCUAUCCAGAUACCAAAUUUCUAUCAUAUCUACAUACCAAAUUUCACUGAAAAAUAUUAUUGAGCAGAUAGCCUAUAAAAGUGAGCAGUUUUGGUACCUCAUUUCUGUUUUUCUGAUUUCUGUAAGUGGGUGGUAAGAGGGGUACGAACAAGUUGAAUUUUAUUAGGUUGUGGGUAACCAUUACCACCCUAUUCAACAAACUUCUCAACUUAACCAAAAUUUACGAAUAGCAGCGAAAAGACUUUUUUUUCAAAAGUAGGCUCGGUUGCGGUCUUUAUCUUUAGCUUGUAGGUUAUACUUGGUGCCAAUAGCCUAAUUCAGGUUGAAGGGGGGGGGGGGGGACACGCUCCUCCCACAAGUCU